AUUGAACGCUGGCGGCAGGCCUAACACAUGCAAGUCGAACGCGUGGCGGACGGGUGAGUAAUGUCUGGGAAUCUGCCCGAUGGAGGGGGAUAACUACUGGAAACGGUAGCUAAUACCGCAUAACAUGGGAUGUGCCCAUAUGGGAGUAGCUAGUAGGUGGGGUAACGGCGCACCUAGGCGACGAUCCCUAGCUGGUCUGAGAGGAUGAACAGCCACACUGGAACGGAGACACGGUCCAGACUCCUACGGGAGGCAGCAGUGGGGAAUAUUGCACAAUGGGCGCAAGCCUGAUGCAGCCAUGCCGCGUGUGUGAAGAAGGCCUUCGGGUUGUAAAGUACUUUCAGCGGGGAGGCGUUACCCGCAGAAGAAGCACCGGCUAACUCCGUGCCAGCAGCCGCGGUAAUAC
rnacentral:rRNA from 1 species